rnacentral:misc_RNA from 1 species
GCUUAAUCUUUUCGGCUUAACAGAAAUUAGAAGAAAAACAAAAAAUUUAAGAAGAAAACAGAUAUAUGAGGGUUUAAGAAAUAAGGAGAGGGGAAUACUAAAAACUCUACGCCGGUGACUAAGACGACGGCAGCCCAUUCAGCCAUGGUUUCGGCAGCAACAUGGAUCCGAUACGCAGUCGGGAAACUUCAAUACUCUGCCUCUAUUGGCUGGAAGAACUACAAAGGAGGUCAAAUUACAGAUAGAGAAUUAGGUGAUACCAUAUGGAAGAACUUCUUUCAGGGCAAGUUGACAUGCUUGCACUAUAACAAGGGAGAGGAGAUGGCACCAACACUAGGAGAUCAGAGCUGCACACUUCUUGUUCGGAAGAUACCUUGGGUUGAUCCAAAGAAAGUAUUUGUUGGGGAUGUUGUGCUUCUCAAGGACCCUAUAAACUCAGAGGAUUACCUUGUCCGUAGAUUGGCUGCAAUUGAAGGCUAUGAGAUGGUGUCUACCGAUGAAAAGGAUGAGCCUUUUGUCCUCGAAAAAGAUCAAUGUUGGGUGCUGGCUGAUAAUGAAAAUGUGAAACCUAAGGAAGCCAAAGAUAGCAGAACUUUUGGCCCUGUUUCCUUAAAAGACAUAGUUGGCAGAGCUAUAUAUUGCCUGAGGACGGCAGUAGAUCAUGGUCCUGUUAACAACAGUCCGUUUAGCAUGGAUUUGGAUUCACCAGUCCUAGAAGUAGAACUGGAUGUUGAUGAGAUGGCAAAAAGUCACAAAGCAUAGGUUGUGCUUUGGAUGUGAAAGGUUUUCCCAGAAUUACUGAUUUGGUUGUACCCUCCCUUUCUUGUUUCCUCUUAUUAAUCUGAGCAAAAUUCAUUGGGGA